ACUGAACGCUGGCGGCAUGCCUUACACAUGCAAGUCGAACGGCAGCACGGGUGCUUGCACCUGGUGGCGAGUGGCGAACGGGUGAGUAAUACAUCGGAACGUACCUUAUCGUGGGGGAUAACGCAGCGAAAGCUGUGCUAAUACCGCAUACGCCCUGAGGGGGAAAGCGGGGGAUCGCAAGACCACGCGCGAUUAGAGCGGCCGAUGCCUGAUUAGCUUGUUGGUGGGGUAAAAGCCCACCAAGGCGACUAUCAGUAGCUGGUCUGAGAGGACGAUCAGCCACACUGGGACUGAGACACGGCCCAGACUCCUACGGGAGGCAGCAGUGGGGAAUUUUGGACAAUGGGGGCAACCCUGAUCCAGCAAUGCCGCGUGAGUGAAGAAGGCCUUCGGGUUGUAAAGCUCUUUUGUCAGGGAAGAAACACCGGCUCUAACACAGUCCGGGAAUGACGGUACCUGAAGAAUAAGCACCGGCUAACUACGUGCCAGCAGCCGCGGUAA
rnacentral:rRNA from 1 species